GAAGUAUCAGCAAUUGACUUAAACAGCUCACUGACUUCCUGCUGGGAGGAGCAGAAGACUGACGAUGAACUUAACGUCACUUUGAAUUCCCCACGCUGGUAGCAGAACUAUUGCUGGGUCAAAAAGAAGUGUAGUUUUAAAGAGAAAAACUUCUUGGGCUUUAAAGAAGUCUGAAACAGACUCUGAAAGCUUUGUUAGGACCCUAUGGAGAGAUCCACAUGUCAAACAACUGAUAUCUACAGCCAAAAGGCAUUGAAGAUCGGAAGCCAGCUAGCAGCCAUGUGAAUGAGAUUGGAAACAGAACGUCCUCCAGUUGAACCUUGACAUGCCUGUCGCCCUGUCCAACAUCUUGGGAAACUCUCAGGCAGAGCAUCUCACUGAGGGACACUCAGAUUCUUGAUCUAGAAAGACUGCAAUAUAAUAAAUGUUUGUUGUUUUAAGAGGCUAAA